rnacentral:misc_RNA from 1 species
GAUGAAGAACGUAGCGAAAUGCGAUAAGUAAUGUGAAUUGCAGAAUUCAGUGAAUCAUCGAAUCUUUGAACGCACAUUGCGCCCGCUAGUAUUCUGGCGGGCAUGCCUGUCCGAGCGUCAUUUCAACCCUCAAGCCCCCGGGCUUGGUGUUGGGGAUCGGCGAGCCUCCGAGCCCGCCGUCCCCUAAAUCUAGUGGCGGUCUCGCUGUAGCUUCCUCUGCGUAGUAGCACACCUCGCACUGGGAAACAGCGCGGCCACGCCGUUAAACCCCCAACUUCUGAACGUUUGACCUCGGAUCAGGUAGGAAUACCCGCUGAACUUAAGCAUAUCAAUAAGCGGAGGA